rnacentral:rRNA from 1 species
AGCGGCGGACGGGUGAGUAACGCGUGGGUGACCUGCCCCAUACCGGGGGAUAACAGCUGGAAACGGCUGCUAAUACCGCAUAAGCGCACAGAGCUGCAUGGCCCGGUGUGAAAAACUCCGGUGGUAUGGGAUGGGCCCGCGUCUGAUUAGGCAGUUGGCGGGGUAACGGCCCACCAAACCGACGAUCAGUAGCCGGCCUGAGAGGGCGACCGGCCACAUUGGGACUGAGACACGGCCCAA